GUUACUUAAUAUAUUAAUCUAAAAUAUUCUUACUCCUUUUAUGUCAUAACUUGGCCCGGGAGUCACCCUUGUUGUUAGACAGCUGGGUAAGGACAUGUAGGCAGUACAUUUUCUCAGUUUUUGAGGUGUGACAAUAUCUCUUUGUUGCUCGCUCACGUGAGUAGCAAAAUCGGCUUUCUGUAGAACUCAUGAGUCAUACUUGCUGUGCUUCAAAACACAGACGUCGUUCCAUUGUCUUCUGGUAAUUGCCACACUAACUUUGCGUUUUUCUCCACAAACAAGACGCAGACGCAUGCGGAGCAAUUAAAUAACUUGACCAGAGCAAGCCAUUUGUCAGUGUCAGAAGCAGUGGAGACUGCAGUGCUUCUCUAGGUAAGUCCCCGGGAAUGAAACUGCUAGGUGCGGGAGUUAGGUGUGUACUCAACUUUACGGGAUAAUGCCACAUUGCUUUUCAAAGAGGCUUUAUUAAUUUACACUCCCAGCAGCACUCGGUGAGAGCUUCUCGUGCCAACUGAGGGAGGAGAAAACGGUGUCUUUGUUGUUUGCAU
rnacentral:lncRNA from 1 species